rnacentral:rRNA from 1 species
UUAAAUUGAAGAGUUUGAUCAUGGCUCAGAUUGAACGCUGGCGGCAGGCCUAACACAUGCAAGUCGAACGGUAACAGGAAGCAGCUUGCUGCUUUGCUGACGAGUGGCGGACGGGUGAGUAAUGUCUGGGAAACUGCCCGAUGGAGGGGGAUAACUACUGGAAACGGUAGCUAAUACCGCAUAACGUCGCAAGACCAAAGAGGGGGACCUUCGGGCCUCUUGCCAUCGGAUGUGCCCAGAUGGGAUUAGCUAGUAGGUGGGGUAACGGCUCACCUAGGCGACGAUCCCUAGCUGGUCUGAGAGGAUGACCAGCCACACUGGAACUGAGACACGGUCCAGACUCCUACGGGAGGCAGCAGUGGGGAAUAUUGCACAAUGGGCGCAAGCCUGAUGCAGCCAUGC